UGUAGAUGUUCUAGUGACUAUAGUGUCCCUUUAACUGUAACCUUCAUUACAAUUGAGCCGAUAACAUUUAUUGGCAACUUAUCAGCUCCCAUAAGCCUUUUAUCAGUUUGAAUAAAUGUAAAAAAAUGUUGCCACCUGGAUUUAACUAAGAAAAUAGGUAAGAGCCUCCUAUUGUAUAGUUACUGAAUGGACGAUUAUCUUUCAACUGGCAACAAGUUACUUAACCCCAAAUGAUGCAAUGAGUAGCUUCUCAUGGUCGUGAAAAAGAUGUUAGUUUGUUUUAAAGGAUCAAAUCAUUGACAUGCAUUAAGCAGAGAAAACAUGUAAGGAGAUUACAGAAACUACAAAAAUUGGGUUAAGAACUGUCCAACGCAUUAUUAAAAAACUGGAAGGAUAGUGGGGAACCACCAGUGAUGGGCGCAUCAGGGUAAGAAGAGCGGUAGAUGAAGUGAUGCACCCAUCAUGCCUAGUGCCUACUGUACAAGCCUGUGGGGACAGUGCUAUGAUCUUGGGUUGCUGCAGUUGGUCAGGUUCAGGUUCAGCAACAUUAUGUGCCCAAAGAAUGAGGUUAGCUGACUACCUGAAUCUACUGAAUGACCAGGUUAUUCCAUCAAUGGAUUUUUUCUUCCCUGAUGGCACAGGCAUAUUCCAAGAUGACAAUGCCAGGAUUCAUCAGCUCCAAACUGGUGGAUUGGCCACCACAGAGUCCAGACCUUAACCCCAUUGAGAAUCUCUGGGAUGUGCUAGAGAAGGCUUUGCACAGUGGUCCAACUCUCCCAUCAUUAAUACUAGAUCUUGGUGAAAAAUGAAUGCACCACUGGACUGAAAUAAAUCUUGUGACAUUGCAGAAGCUUAUAGAAACAAUGCCACAGGGAAUGCAAGCCGUAAUCAAAGCUAAAGGUGGACAAAAUAAAUAUUAAAGUGUGUGACCUUUUUUGUGGUGGCAACUUUUUUUUUGGCCAGGUAGUGUAUAUACAUGCUUUUCUGUCAGUAAUCAUAUGAAAGGAUUAGAGAAAAGCAGAUGUGGUGACUACAUUUAAAAAGGUGUUAUUAAUACAACCUGAGAAUACAAUCUACCGAGUGUACGAAAACGCUUCUGGUUUUAGGCCUGUUUGGAUUUUAGCGCAUGGGGACUGGGUGAUGUCAUGUAUGUCAGUGAGCUCUCUUACUCAGUAAACGGGAGAACGAUCAGUAACCUCUUUCAUUACGCACAUUGUCUCAAAUUCGUUGUCUGUUUGCUUACUCCCUGGCACUAUGUUCAGAUUGCUGUGGACCUGCGAGUCCCAAAG